CGCUCGCCGGCCUCCCAUUGGCUCCCGCCCCGCGGCUUCAAACGGUCCGGCGGGAGCGAUGGCGGCGGAGGCUGCGGCCGCACCCCCCCGGCGGGUUCAGGUCUGCGUCCGCCUGCGCCCCGGCCCCCCCGGUGAGGAUCCCUGCCUGCUGCCCCUCGACUCCCACACCCUGCAGCUGCGUGAGGACCCCCCCCACGCCCCCUCCUGCUACCGCUUCGAUGCUGUUUACGACGCCGCCAGCUCCACGGCCGCCGUCUACGAGGGCUCCGUCCGCCCGCUGCUGGCCCAGUUCCUGGCCGGCAGCGACCCCCCGAAAGGCUGACACGGUGCCCCCGUGCCCCUACCAGGGAAGACUCACACCAUGCUGGGCGGUGAAGGGGAGCCCGGCUUGGUGCAGCGCGCUCUCGAGGAGCUUCUACAGGCCGUGGGCGCCAGCCGCUGCCUCAGCGUGGCCUGCAUGGAGGUGUACUGCGAGGAGGUGGGCUUGUGCCCCGUUCCUCCCCCUCAAAUCGCCCCCCCUUUUGGUCCACCUCCCCUCCCCAGGUGCCGGUGUCCCCCCAUUUCUCGACCUGUGCCACCCCCAGUCUCCAGAUCUGCCUUCCCCUAUAGGCAGAUCCCCCCCAGACCCCACUAUACCCCCCAAAAAAGCAUAAUCCCCCCCCCAAAAAAAAACAUAUUCCCCU